AUGCAAAUCAAUAGAAACACAGCUUCUCCUACAUCUGGCUGGGCUGGCUUCAGGUUUUCAGAGGAAGAGGAAAGGAACUUUACAUCACUGAUGGAGAAUGAGAAGUACUGCUGGAGUGCAGAGUGCGUGUGGAGGCAGGGAGUCGGCUGCGGAGAAACCAAGCCUGGAGAGGUAAGUAGGAAGCUGUGUGAUGGGGAAUAUAGAAAAGCAUCCAACUGUACUCACAAUGAAUUUAGGAAGACAGUUUCUCAAACGGAGGCCUGAAAAUGUGGGCUUCUGUCUCAAUGUGGCUUAGAAGACUUGCUAGUUUGUGUUGGUCUCUGAUUUGUUCAAAGUGAAUCAUGGAUUCCUGAAAAAACCAUAAACUUGGUUUGCAGUUGUCUGGUGGUUAGAGCAACAGAGAGUAUUUUUUUUCUGUCUUGUGAUUGGGGUUGGAAUGACAUACUCCUGCAAUGAUUUUGUAGGGUCAUAAAAGUAGAUAAAGCUGCCAGAAACGACGUCCUCCACAUGUUUCCUGUGUUUACCCCAACCUCCUCAAAUUUGAUCUUCCAGGAAAAAAAAAAUCACUUUAUUUAUACGUUCUGAUAUUUGAAUUUCCA
rnacentral:lncRNA from 10 species